UCGCAUAGGUUAGUAUUACCUAUGCGAGCGAAGUAGCAGUAGCA
ncrna:unclassified sequences ssNA-helicase RNA